rnacentral:rRNA from 2 species
UCAAGUGAAGAAGCGCAUACGGUGGAUGCCUUGGCAGUCAGAGGCGAUGAAAGACGUGGUAGCCUGCGAUAAGCUUCGGGGAGUCGGCAAACAGACUUUGAUCCGGAGAUCUCUGAAUGGGGGAACCCACCUAGGAUAACCUAGGUAUCUUGUACUGAAUCCAUAGGUGCAAGAGGCGAACCAGGGGAACUGAAACAUCUAAGUACCCUGAGGAAAAGAAAUCAACCGAGAUUCCCUUAGUAGUGGCGAGCGAACGGGGAUUAGCCCUUAAGCUUCAUUGAUUUUAGCGGAACGCUCUGGAAAGUGCGGCCAUAGUGGGUGAUAGCCCUGUACGCGAAAGGAUCUUUGAAGUGAAAUCGAGUAGGACGGAGCACGAGAAACUUUGUCUGAACAUGGGGGGACCAUCCUCCAAGGCUAAAUACUACUGACUGACCGAUAGUGAACCAGUACCGUGAGGGAAAGGCGAAAAGAACCCCGGAGAGGGGAGUGAAAUAGAACCUGAAACCGUAUGCGUACAAGCAGUGGGAGCCUACUUGUUAGGUGACUGCGUACCUUUUGUAUAAUGGGUCAGCGACUUAUAUUCAGUGGCGAGCUUAACCGAAUAGGGUAGGCGUAGCGAAAGCGAGUCUUAAUAGGGCGUUUAGUCGCUGGGUAUAGACCCGAAACCGGGCGAUCUAUCCAUGAGCAGGUUGAAGGUUAGGUAACACUGACUGGAGGACCGAACCCACUCCCGUUGAAAAGGUAGGGGAUGACUUGUGGAUCGGAGUGAAAGGCUAAUCAAGCUCGGAGAUAGCUGGUUCUCCUCGAAAGCUAUUUAGGUAGCGCCUCAUGUAUCACUCUGGGGGGUAGAGCACUGUUUCGGCUAGGGGGUCAUCCCGACUUACCAAACCGAUGCAAACUCCGAAUACCCAGAAGUGCCGAGCAUGGGAGACACACGGCGGGUGCUAACGUCCGUCGUGAAAAGGGAAACAACCCAGACCGCCAGCUAAGGUCCCAAAGUUGUGGUUAAGUGGUAAACGAUGUGGGAAGGCUUAGACAGCUAGGAGGUUGGCUUAGAAGCAGCCAUCCUUUAAAGAAAGCGUAAUAGCUCACUAGUCGAGUCGGCCUGCGCGGAAGAUGUAACGGGGCUCAAACCACACACCGAAGCUGCGGGUGUCACGUAAGUGACGCGGUAGAGGAGCGUUCUGUAAGCCUGUGAAGGUGAGUUGAGAAGCUUGCUGGAGGUAUCAGAAGUGCGAAUGCUGACAUGAGUAACGACAAUGGGUGUGAAAAACACCCACGCCGAAAGACCAAGGGUUCCUGCGCAACGUUAAUCGACGCAGGGUUAGUCGGUUCCUAAGGCGAGGCUGAAAAGCGUAGUCGAUGGGAAACAGGUUAAUAUUCCUGUACUUCUGGUUACUGCGAUGGAGGGACGGAGAAGGCUAGGCCAGCUUGGCGUUGGUUGUCCAAGUUUAAGGUGGUAGGCUGAAAUCUUAGGUAAAUCCGGGGUUUCAAGGCCGAGAGCUGAUGACGAGUCGUCUUUUAGAUGACGAAGUGGUUGAUGCCAUGCUUCCAAGAAAAGCUUCUAAGCUUCAGGUAACCAGGAACCGUACCCCAAACCGACACAGGUGGUCGGGUAGAGAAUACCAAGGCGCUUGAGAGAACUCGGGUGAAGGAACUAGGCAAAAUGGCACCGUAACUUCGGGAGAAGGUGCGCCGGCUAGGGUGAAGGAUUUACUCCGUAAGCUCUGGCUGGUCGAAGAUACCAGGCCGCUGCGACUGUUUAUUAAAAACACAGCACUCUGCAAACACGAAAGUGGACGUAUAGGGUGUGACGCCUGCCCGGUGCCGGAAGGUUAAUUGAUGGGGUUAGCGCAAGCGAAGCUCUUGAUCGAAGCCCCGGUAAACGGCGGCCGUAACUAUAACGGUCCUAAGGUAGCGAAAUUCCUUGUCGGGUAAGUUCCGACCUGCACGAAUGGCGUAACGAUGGCGGCGCUGUCUCCACCCGAGACUCAGUGAAAUUGAAAUCGCUGUGAAGAUGCAGUGUAUCCGCGGCUAGACGGAAAGACCCCGUGAACCUUUACUGUAGCUUUGCACUGGACUUUGAGCCUGCUUGUGUAGGAUAGGUGGGAGGCUUUGAAGCGUGGACGCCAGUUCGCGUGGAGCCAUCCUUGAAAUACCACCCUGGCAUGCUUGAGGUUCUAACUCUGGUCCGUGAUCCGGAUCGAGGACAGUGUAUGGUGGGCAGUUUGACUGGGGCGGUCUCCUCCUAAAGAGUAACGGAGGAGUACGAAGGUGCGCUCAGACCGGUCGGAAAUCGGUCGCAGAGUAUAAAGGCAAAAGCGCGCUUGACUGCGAGACAGACACGUCGAGCAGGUACGAAAGUAGGUCUUAGUGAUCCGGUGGUUCUGUAUGGAAGGGCCAUCGCUCAACGGAUAAAAGGUACUCCGGGGAUAACAGGCUGAUACCGCCCAAGAGUUCAUAUCGACGGCGGUGUUUGGCACCUCGAUGUCGGCUCAUCACAUCCUGGGGCUGAAGCCGGUCCCAAGGGUAUGGCUGUUCGCCAUUUAAAGUGGUACGCGAGCUGGGUUUAGAACGUCGUGAGACAGUUCGGUCCCUAUCUGCCGUGGACGUUUGAGAUUUGAGAGGGGCUGCUCCUAGUACGAGAGGACCGGAGUGGACGAACCUCUGGUGUUCCGGUUGUCACGCCAGUGGCAUUGCCGGGUAGCUAUGUUCGGAAAAGAUAACCGCUGAAAGCAUCUAAGCGGGAAACUUGCCUCAAGAUGAGAUCUCACUGGGAACUUGAUUCCCCUGAAGGGCCGUCGAAGACUACGACGUUGAUAGGCUGGGUGUGUAAGCGUUGUGAGGCGUUGAGCUAACCAGUACUAAUUGCCCGUGAGGCUUGACCAU